AACGAACGCUGGCGGCAUGCCUAACACAUGCAAGUCGAACGAAGGCUUCGGCCUUAGUGGCGCACGGGUGCGUAACGCGUGGGAAUCUGCCCCUCGGUUCGGAAUAACAGUUAGAAAUGACUGCUAAUACCGGAUGAUGACUUCGGUCCAAAGAUUUAUCGCCGAGGGAUGAGCCCGCGUAAGAUUAGGUAGUUGGUGGGGUAAAGGCCUACCAAGCCGACGAUCUUUAGCUGGUCUGAGAGGAUGAUCAGCCACACUGGGACUGAGACACGGCCCAGACUCCUACGGGAGGCAGCAGUGGGGAAUAUUGGACAAUGGGCGAAAGCCUGAUCCAGCAAUGCCGCAUGAGUGAUGAAGGCCUUAGGGUUGUAAAGCUCUUUUACCAGGGAUGAUAAUGACAGUACCUGGAGAAUAAGCCCCGGCUAACUUCGUGCCAGCCGCCGCCGUAA
rnacentral:rRNA from 1 species